UUAGUUAGUUGGUAAGGUAAAGGCUUACCAAGACGAUGAUGUGUAACUGGACUGAGAGGUUGAACAGCCACAUUGGGACUGAGACACGGCCCAAACUCCUACGGGAGGCAGCAGUAAGGAAUUUUUGGCAAUGGAGGAAACUCUGACCGAGCGACGCCGCGUGAACAAUGAAGUACUUCGGUAUGUAAAGUUCUUUUAUUGAAAAAGAAAAAAUAGUGGAAAAACUAUCUUGACAUUAUUCAAUGAAUAAGCCCCGGCUAAUUAUGUGCCAGCAGCCGCGGUAAUACAUAAGGGGCGAGCGUUAUCCGGAAUUAUUGGGCGUAAAGGGUACGUAGGCGGUUUGAUAAGUCUAUAGUUUAAUUGCGGUGCUUAACGCUGUACCGCUAUAGAAACUGUCUGACUAGAGUUAGAUAGAGGCAAGCGGAAUUCCAUGUGUAGCGGUAAAAUGCGUAAAUAUAUGGAGGAACACCAGAGGCGUAGGCGGCUUGCUGGGUCUUAACUGACGCUGAGGCACGAAAGCGUGGGGAGCAAACAGGAUUAGAUACCCUGGUAGUCCACGCCGUAAACGAUGAGUACUAAGUGUCGGGUUUUGGCUCGGUACUGAAGUUAACACAUUAAGUACUCCGCCUGAGUAGUACGUACGCAAGUAUGAAACUUAAAGGAAUUGACGGGACCCCGCACAAGCGGUGGAUCAUGUUGUUUAAUUCGAAGAUACACGAAAAACCUUACCAGGUCUUGACAUAACUUUGCGACAUUAUAGAAAUAUAAUGAAGGUUAUCAGAAUUACAGGUGGUGCAUGGUUGUCGUCAGCCCGUGUCGUGAGAUGUUAGGUUAAGUCCUAAAACGAGCGCAACCCUUGUCGUUAGUUGCGACCACAUAAUGGUGAGCACUUUAGCGAGACUGCCAAUGAAAAAUUGGAGGAAGGUGAGGAUUACGUCAAAUCAUCAUGCCCCUUAUGAUCUGGGCUGCAAACGUGAUACAAUGGCUUUUACAAAGAGUAGCUACAACGUGAGUUUUUAGCCAAUCUCAAAAAAACAGUCUC
rnacentral:rRNA from 1 species